GAUUUGGGCCAUUCGGAGUCGGAUAUUCGUGGAAAAGGCAUUGUCACCGAUUGAUUGAGCUUGGUUCGAGGUAAGUGGCUUGCCUAACCUUGUGUGGGGUAGAUCCCCUUAGGGUUUGGUACUGUUGUGAUAUGUGAGCAUCGUGUACGUGAGGUGACGAGUACGUACACGGGUUAGUUGUUGUAAAAACUUAUUUAUUUUACUGAGUAGCAACCUGUUAUCCCUUUUCAUAUGAGUUAUACCAUUUAAAUGAAAAUUAGUCUGUUUUCACUCUUAAUUGAGCUAUUCCAGUAUGUGUAGUUAUCCUGCUUAGUCUAGUAUCGCAUGUCUACGUGCUUUAACUGUUUAUUUGAACUCUGUGAAGCAUGCCUAGUUGAUUCCUAUUUUUCCUUGUUCUUUAUCAGUAUAACUGUAGAAAUCUUGAUGUUAACUGUUGUUUUUAUCGGUUGAGCUUUGUGUUUACUUUUGAGACUAUAGGGCGGUUCUUCAGGAGUUCUCCCCGCACAUUUACUUUUGAGACUACGAGACGGUACCUCGGGAGUUCUCCCUGCACAUUUACUUUUGAGACUACGAGGCGGUACCUCGGGAGUUCUCCCUGUACAUUUACUUUUGAGACUACGAGGCGAUUCCUCGGGAGUUCUCCCCGCACAUUUACUUUUGAGACUACGAGGCGGUACCUCGGAAGUUCUCCAUGUAUAUUUAUUUUGGGACUACGAGACGGUAUCUCGGGAGAUCUCCUGCUGUUUACCCCUGUGUGUUGUACUGUUGCCUUGCUGUGUUUCCUUUUCUUAAAUUCUAGUCUCUUAUUAUAUUGUAUAUUCUCCUGCCUUAUUUAUUAUUUACCAGUGGGCCUGACCUGACCUCAUCACUACUCGAUCGAGGUUAGGCUUGGAACUUACUGGGUACCGUUGUGGUUUACUCAUGCUACUCUUCUGCACAUGUUUUGUGUGCAGAUCCAGGUACCUCUUAUCAGCCCCGCUAUUAGCUGAGAGUGUUUGCUGUUGUACGGAGACUUCAAGGUACAUCUGCCGCGUCCGUAGACCUCGGAGUCCCCUUCUAUUCUCCCCUAUGUCAAUUACCUUCUGUACUUCUUUUGUUAUACUUUGGUGUAUAGAGAUACUACUUUUCCUUCUGUAGCUUGUGACUCAUGAUGUUCCGGGUUUUGGGAAGACUGUGUAUUUAUAGAGUAUUGGUUAUUUUACAUGCCGAG
rnacentral:lncRNA from 1 species